rnacentral:tRNA from 1 species
GAGCCAUUAGCUCAGUUGGUAGAGCGUCUGACUUUUAAUCAGAGGGUCAGAGGUUCGAAUCCUCUAUGGCUCA